UGGUUAAAAAGUUCUCCAACCUCUGUUCUAGAUAUACCACCUGGAGGUGAAGCCUGGAGUUGCUGCCACAUUAUUUGUUGAUCAACUUGUUGAAGAUAGAAUUGUCCAAAUACCCAAGUUACGCCAGUUUACUUAACAACAAACGGAAACUGUGGUCAACAAUAACUUGUGAGGAAAUCAGUGAAGAUAUGGAAGUUUCUCAGACACCCCGGAUUUACAUGGUAGAAACUGAAGAAAAGGAAGCACCGGAAUCAAAGCUUUAUCCUCCUCAUAUUUUGCGAUUACCUCCCCAAAUGAAAAGAAUCGGGACGCGUCGAACACAUUUACUUUCAUCUUUGCAAAAUUGCGGAAAUUAUGGGAAUAAUGCUUUUAACAAUUUGGAGAAAACAAAGAAGGAGGAGAAUGAUGGAAGCAACGAAGAUAAAGUCAAGGAGGGACAAACGCCAAUGCCUAAGACCAAAAACAAAUUAAACCCACCUGUUCCGAAAGUGUUCGUUCCCAGAACGACACGAGAUCUACCAAUGCUUCCCGAGAUGACUCCUGCAACGGUAGAGACAGUCGGCGAGUCCAAUAUCGGAUGGACACAAAGACAACAUCCGAUGCCCAAAGUGGUGAAGGUGAAUCGAAUCAUUGGUGCACUGGACCACGUUGUGGACCCAUGGACAGGUCAGUUAGAAGACCACAUGGGCAGUACAAAAAUAAAGCUAGUAAACACUUUAUUGGUGGCUCUGAGGAAGGAGAGUAAGUGUGGCAAUUACUUUGAGAACUUCUUAACCAAAUGCAAAAAUAAGCUUGCACUCAACUGUCUCUACCUUUGGCAUAACAUCGAGAAAUUCUUGCAAAUCUUCUACACUCAACCAGUCAAUAUGUUUCGUAUCUGCAGAUAUGCCAAAUUUAUUUAUUCGAAGUUCAUUGCAAAUGGCAGUCCAUUCACUGUCCGUGCUGGACCAAAAGUUAUGUUACUUAUAUGGCAGAACCUAGAUGCACCAGUCGGGGACAUGUUUGAUGAAGCGGUAGAACAUAUACUCAUCAUUUUAUCAAAAUUCUGGCACAGACUUCUACUGGAAGAAAGCUGGAUUUAUAGAAAAGGUCACCUGUAAUUUGCGUACCGCAUUCCGCAUUACAUUUUUUUAUUUCUCCUUCUGAUCUUAAUGCUGCGAUUACCGUAUCUUCGAAUGGCUCACUGUGUUUUGGUAUCAGUCUGGACAAACCAUCCACAUGCCCUUGUUUUUUUGACGAUAAAUCACUAAAGAAAAGGAGUCUUUCAACUAUUUAAAUACACAAAUAUAUUUUAAAAUACAGAUCUCAAUCCUAAAUAUUUAAUUUUGCAUUCUCUGUUAACGUAUUUCGAAAGAAAUAAUUCAACUAUAUAGUCAUACCAAUUUCGACAAUCUACAAGAAUUGUACAAUCUUCUUUCUGUUUUCUUCCACUGAAGUUUCAAAGAAUUUUUCAUCAGGAGGUCGCAGUUUGAAGAACUUUCCGUUUGAUUUUUCAGUGAUCAAAGUUUUUAUUUAUACAAAUCAAAAAAAAAAAAAAAAAGAAGACAGUUUUGAU